rnacentral:rRNA from 1 species
UACGGGGGGGGCAAGCGUUGUUCGGAAUUACUGGGCGUAAAGGGCUCGUAGGCGGUCCAUCGCGUCGGGAGUGAAAAGCUGGGGCUUAACCCCAGUCCUGCUUCCGAUACGGGUGGACUAGAGGUAGGUAGGGGAGAUCGGAAUUCCUGGUGUAGCGGUGAAAUGCGCAGAUAUCAGGAGGAACACCAGUGGCGCAAGCGGCUGACUGGCCGAGACCUGACGCUGAGACACGACGGCGUGGGGAGCAAACCGG